CUGAGCCCGCACCCUCGGUGCCGGGUCGUGGAUGGGUGCUGAGCACUUGGCCUGCAGGACUGGGCCACGACGGCAGAAGGGAGCUUCUAGAGUCGCCGUCACCUGGAAAACAGUCACUCAGGGACAAAUGGCAUAGGAGACUUGUCACGGAAACACAGCAACGUUCUCCUCAGGGCUGGAGAGAGCCUGCCUGAGUUCACGUGCUGGACUUUGUCAGCUAUUGAUGCUACACCCGGAGUGGGGCUCCAAAAAACCAAGGGGUGGGAGGAAAGCAUCCUAUGAAAGGGCAGUCAUUUGUUGACCAGCCAGGCGCACGAGUAAGACCAAAGACUGCUGGAGAUUGUGAAUCCCAGAGGAUUUGUGACAUGUGUGCCUGUGAUUUAGCCUGAGCAGCGCAAGCAAAGCAAGAAUAAACAUGGCAGCCAAGCCUUCUUUCUGGGUAAGCUUUUAAAAUGGGAAGUUGGGAUAGCAAGAGUGUGUCUGCGUAAGAACAGCAUGUCUGCAAGAAGGGCAGAGCUUGUCACAAAGAGGAUGGGAGUCCUUCUGCACUGCGACAGUUUCCUGCAUCGGUCGGUGCUCUGACUUCAAAGUUCAGACCCACUAGCAUGCAUACCAGCUUUACAAGUUUUAUUUGUAGAAGUAAUGUAGAAGCAGAAAAUGCAUAGAUUGUGUGCUUGGGAAGGAAGAAGGUGUACUGUUCAUUGCAUUCAAAUUAGGCUGCCUUUAUGGACAGAAGUCCUACUUGUGUGAUAAAAGGCAGGGCAUUUGUCACUGUUCCUCUUCCCUAUUGCUGUUCAGUUCUUUAUGAAACUCAGCCUGGAAACAUCUGCUGAAACUCUCUUCCUCUUACAAUUUACCUGCUUUAAAUAAAAAGGACUUUGGAUAGAGCUAAACCAUUUUCUUCUUCCAUUGUUAAUACUGACUUUGCUUUCCAAUUUCUGAUAUCUGUCUGCAGCUCACUGCUUCCUUUUCUGAACAUGUAGUUCCAAGACCUCCUUUUUUAAGCAAAGAAGAUUCACUUGGGGACUGUCUCCUAGGAUAUUUAGAUGAAGAUUUAAGAAGAACAUCACAUUUUAAUCAGAACUGUGCACUUCGCAUACAAAUAAAUUGUCAUGUAAUAAUGAAGGUCUUCCUAUUAAUAAGAAAAUGGAUUAAUCAUAAAAUGGAAGAUACUAGCACAAGAGGUUGGCAGACAUUUAGAUCUUAUUAAUAAUUAAAGCUAUCAACAAGUUGACAGUUACUGCAGAAUGGGAAUCGGAUUUAAAUAGAGUUUUGAUCUAAUGCAAUGCCACUAACAUCAUUACGUGCAAAAUAAGCCAACGAAUGGUAUUUAUGUUGUAAGGCAGUCCUGUAUGCAACACUUUGGUCAGGUAAAUGCAGAAUAAACUAA